rnacentral:lncRNA from 12 species
UUUUGAUGUUCAUUUCAGGAUGAUGCUGAGGACAUCUCUGAUCAGUUGAAUUUCCACCCAUACAGCUGCAUUUUGAUCCUUUGGCUGAGGCUGGAGCUUGGCUUACUUCUGGAGAGACUGCCCUAACCAAGGUCAGCAGAACUGCCUGAGCCACCAGCCAUCAGCCAGCAGGGAAAAUGAUCAUGUGCUGUCUUGCCAGGCUUGUUAUGAAUGCAGCUGUCAUUAGAAGGUGUUUCUGCCUCCUCCUUCUCCUCUCAGAAGUCAUUUGGGUCACAGCACCAGAGCCAUGGGACGAGCUCAGUCCGAGCUGGGGAGCAGAGUGCCCACCUCGAGUCUGUGCAGGACAGGCAACUGGUACAAACGAGCCCCACCAGUUCGUUAUUGCUGGAGAUGAAGGCCACAGAGCACAGCCAUGUUUCCCAAGAACUCCU